AAUUCGAUUGAGUUUGAUCAUGGCUCAGGACGAACGCUGGCGGCGUGCUUAACACAUGCAAGUGGAGCGACGAACCAGGGCUUGCCCUGGGGCAGAGCCGCGAACGGGUGAGUAACACGUGGGUAACGUGCCCCGAUGACUGGGACAACCCGGGGAAACCCGGGCUAAUACCGGACAUGCCCCCUCACAUCAGUGAGGUGUGUAAAGGAAGCUUCGGCCUCCGCAUCGGGAUCGGCCCGCGGCCCAUUAGCUUGUCGGUGAGGUAAUGGCUCACCAAGGCUUCUAUGGGUAGCUGGUCUGAGAGGACGAUCAGCCACACUGGGACUGAGACACGGCCCAGACUCCUACGGGAGGCAGCAGUGGGGAAUCUUGCGCAAUGCGCGAAAGCGUGACGCAGCAACGCCGCGUGGGGGAAGACGGCCUUCGGGUUGUAAACCCCUUUCAGUUGGGACGAAGGUCGGGCGGUUAACAGCCGUUCCGGCUGACGGUACCUUCACAAGAAGCCCCGGCUAACUACGUGCCAGCAGCCGCGGUAAUACGUAGGGGGCAAGCGUUGUCCGGAAUCAUUGGGCGUAAAGAGCGUGUAGGCGGCCCGAUAAGUCCGCUGUGAAAGUCAAGGGCUCAACCCUUGAAUGCCGGCGGAUACUGUCAGGCUAGAGUCCGGAAGAGGCGAGUGGAAUUCCUGGUGUAGCGGUGAA
rnacentral:rRNA from 1 species